AGAGUUUGAUCCUGGCUCAGGAUGAACGCUAGCGGGAGGCUUAACACAUGCAAGUCGAGGGGCAGCGCGGGUGGCAACACCUGGCGGCGACCGGCAGACGGGUGAGUAACACGUAUGCAACCUGCCCUGCACAGGGGAAUAGCCCGGAGAAAUCCGGAUUAAUGCCCCAUGGUCCGCGGGAGCCGCAUGGCUUCUUCGGUAAAGAUUCAUCGGUGCAGGAUGGGCAUGCGUUCCAUUAGCUAGUUGGCGGGGCAACGGCCCACCAAGGCGACGAUGGAUAUGGGGUCUAAAAGGAUGGUCCCACACAUUGGCACUGAGAUACGGGCCAAACUCCUACGGGAGGCAGCAGUGAGGAAUAUUGGUCAAUGGGCGAGAGCCUGAACCAGCCAUCCCGCGUGCAGGAUGAAGGUCUUACAGAUUGUAAACUGCUUUUGCAGGGGACGAAUAAGAAUCACGUGUGGUUCGAUGACAGUACUCUGUGAAUAAGCAUCGGCUAACUCCGUGCCAGCAGCCGCGGUAAUACGGAGGAUGCGAGCGUUAUCCGGAUUUAUUAGGUUUAAAGGGUGCGUAGGCGGGGCUUUAAGUCAGCGGUAAAAUCAUAUAGCUUAACUAUAUCAAGCCAUUGAUACUGGAGUCCUUGAGUACGGUUGAGGCUGGCGGAAUGUGUUGUGUAGCGGUGAAAUGCUUAGAUAUGACACAGAACACCGAUUGCGAAGGCAGCUAGCUAAGCCGGCACUGACGCUGAGGCACGAAAGCGUGGGGAUCAAACAGGAUUAGAUACCCUGGUAGUCCACGCUGUAAACGAUGAUAACUCGUUGUUGGCGAUAUACGGUCAGCGACUGAGCGAAAGCAUUAAGUUAUCCACCUGGGGAGUACGUCGGCAACGAUGAAACUCAAAGGAAUUGACGGGGGCCCGCACAAGCGGAGGAACAUGUGGUUUAAUUCGAUGAUACGCGAGGAACCUUACCUGGGCUUGAACUGUGGAGGACAGUCCUAGAGAUGGGAUCUCCCUUCGGGGUCUCCAUAGAGGUGCUGCAUGGUUGUCGUCAGCUCGUGCCGAGAGGUGUCGGGUUAAGUCCCAUAACGAGCGCAACCCUCAUUGCCAGUUGCCAUCAGGUAAAGCUGGGGACUCUGGUGAGACUGCCGGUGUAAACCGAAAGGAAGGUGGGGAUGACGUCAAAUCAGCACGGCCCUUAUGUCCAGGGCUACACACGUGUUACAAUGGCCAGUACAGUGGGCAGCCACCCGGCGACGGGGCGCAAAUCCAUAAAGCUGGUCUUAGUUCGGAUCGGAGUCUGCAACUCGACUCCGUGAAGCUGGAUUCGCUAGUAAUCGCAGAUCAGCCAUGCUGCGGUGAAUACGUUCCCGGGCCUUGUACACACCGCCCGUCAAGCCAUGGAAGUUGGGAGUGCCUGAAGUCCGUAACCGCAAGGAGCGGCCUAGGGUAAAACCGAUGACUGGGGCUAAGUCGUAACAAGGUAGCCGUACCGGAAGGUGUGGCUGGAACACCUCCUU
rnacentral:rRNA from 1 species